UACGUAGGGUGCAAGCGUUGUCCGGAAUUAUUGGGCGUAAAGAGCUCGUAGGCGGUUCGUCGCGUCGGCUGUGAAAUCCCGAGGCUCAACCUCGGGUCUGCAGUCGAUACGGGCGGACUGGAGUUCGGCAGGGGAGACUGGAAUUCCUGGUGUAGCGGUGAAAUGCGCAGAUAUCAGGAGGAACACCGGUGGCGAAGGCGGGUCGCUGGGACGGUACUGACGCUGAGGCGCGAAAGCGUGGGGAGCAAACAGG
rnacentral:rRNA from 1 species